GACACAGCCCAGAGGAAGCCAAAGGACCGCAGUGACUGCACCUGUCAAAUGCUGGCAUGCUGCCUUAACCUUUGACGCCCAUCAUUUAAACAUGUCACCAACAUAAAACCCAGACAUGCUAA